rnacentral:rRNA from 1 species
UGGGUUUAAGGGUGCGUAGGCGGCUUAUUAAGUCAGGGGUGAAAGACGGUGGCUCAACCAUCGCACUGCCCUUGAUACUGAUGAGCUUGAAUACACUAGAGGUAGGCGGAAUGUGACAAGUAGCGGUGAAAUGCAUAGAUAUGUCACAGAACACCGAUUGCGAAGGCAGCUUACUAUGGUGUCAUUGACGCUGAGGCACGAAAGCGUGGGGAUCAAACAGGAUUAGAUACCCUGGUAGUCCACGCCCUAAACGAUGAAUACUCGCUGUUAGCGAUACACAGUUAGCGGCUAAGCGAAAGCGUUAAGUAUUCCACCUGGGGAGUACGCCCGCAAGGGUGAAACUCAAAGGAAUUGACGGGGGCCCGCACAAGCGGAGGAGCAUGUGGUUUAAUUCGAUGAUACGCGAGGAACCUUACCCGGGCUUGAAAGUUAGUGAAUGAGAUAGAGAUAUUUCAGUGAGCAAUCACACGAAACUAGGUGCUGCAUGGCUGUCGUCAGCUCGUGCCGUGAGGUGUUGGGUUAAGUCCCGCAACGAGCGCAACCCCUAUGUUUAGUUGCCAGCACGUUAAGGUGGGGACUCUAAACAGACUGCCUGUGCAAACAAAGAGGAAGGAGGGGACGACGUCAAGUCAUCAUGGCCCUUACGUCCGGGGCUACACACGUGCUACAAUGGAUGGUACAGAGGGCAGCAAGCUGGCAACAGCAAGCAAAUCUCAAAAAGCCAUUCACAGUUCGGAUAGAGGUCUGCAACUCGACCUCUUGAAGUUGGAUUCGCUAGUAAUCGCGUAUCACAAUGACACGGUGAAUACGUUCCCGGGCCUU